rnacentral:lncRNA from 1 species
CUUCUUUCUUUAUGUAUUAAUUAAUUCUAGCCAAUGCGAUUCCCUUGAACCCUAGUAAAAACCCACCCCUCGAUUCUCCCUCGCCAUUGCCUCACGGACCCGACAAUCAAAGCCUGGUGGUUCUUGAUGCAGAGGAGGGCAGUGGGGGAUUGUCCCGACGAGCCAAACAACUGUCGAUCCUCACAAUGGUGGGAAGAACAGCAUGAUUUUGUUUCUUCUUUUCUUUCUUCUCAUUGGAUUUCAUCCUCCUUGGCAGAAGCCCAUCUGGCCCAACCCAUUUGACACAAGCUCAUUUAGCCUCGAGACCUAAUAAACCGUACCCAAUCGAACCGAGUUUCUCAAAUCGAUUUGAACUGAUAUUUUUUUUUUUUUUUUUAAUUUAGAAAACUCACUAAGUCGAUUCGGUUUUAAGAAUAACGCCCUAAAUUGAUGCUGCAUGUACUUAUGAAUAUGCAUGAAGCUAAAAAUAGUUUGAAUGUUACGGUGACAAGUGUAUGGAUUUUUUUUGUUAAUAUGCCAUUACAAAAAACUCAAUUUACAUAUUUAGCCCGGACAAACUUUUAUUGUUACAUCCCUGAACAGUUUUAUUUUUUGCACAAAUACGCCUGCUGUUACAAUCCGUCCCGCAGCGUUUACC